CCCGGAGAGAGCUGCCAGUAGACCCGGCUCAGGUGUGGCCUCACCCAUCCCGGAGAGAGCUGCCAGUAGACCCGGCUCAGGUGUGGCCUCACCCAUCCCGGAGAGAGCUGCCAGUAGACCCGGCUCAGGUGUGGCCCAGACCCGGCUGUCAUCCGGCAGGUGUUGUUUAUUUCUAUAACUGGACACGCAAGAGGGGUGUGUGUGUGUGUGUGUGUGUGUGUGUGUGUGUGUGUGUGUGUGUGUGUGUGUGCGCGCGUGUGUGCGCACGCACGUGUGUGUGUGUGUGUGUGUGUGUGUGUGUGUGUGUGUGUGUGUGUGUGUGUGUGUGUGUGUUGUAAUAUACUCCUGUGAGAGAAGUGUACUGCCGUGGUGCUACUAAUUUACCUGUGUUGUAC
ensembl:lncRNA